AUUAAAUUGCUUAGUGCUUAUUCAAUUAAAACCCUCAACCUACUGAAUUAGUCCAGCAAAAACCCACAGAAGCAGCGCUCCACGCACUUAGAACCGCCGCUACACAUCUGCACCACCGUUCCGUUGCACCGACCGCCAUCUGACUGCCUCAACGAUUCUGCUUGAUUCAAGUUUCCCAAGUGUGGGAAGCUCUUGAAAUUCUUGAUGCUGCUGUUCACCAGAUGCUUCACCUGAUAUAGUUGAAAUCCACUCGGCCGGAGUUGUUCCAAAGCUUCUAGCUGGAAAACCUGAAGGCUGGAACAGUGAGUGAUUCCUCUGGUUCUGUCGGUGUAUCUUCUGAUUUUUUUGAAGCUCAAGUAAUGUCCUUAUCUGUCACAGAUCUGUUAGCGUAAUUGAUGUAAUAGUUUCUACAAUGUACAAUAUAAAAGACGCAUAUGCUUGCCAGAGAGUAUCUAUGGCCUCGUUCGUAUGGGCUAAUGUGUAGGCGUUCUCUAACUGAUUUGCGUGACAUUUGUCCAGCUGAUACAAAUGGUAUUAAGUUGUAAUCUAAUUGCAGUGAAGCAAUAAAUCAUACAUUGAUCGACGUUUGUAGAGGGAACAAGUAUUUUGGACUGUACAAUGUUGGAUUAACACACUGUGAAGCCUGCAAAUAAGGAAGUUGCUUCUUACACUGAAAUAGAUAUGAAUAUUGAGGGAUUUGUCCAGCAGUGUCACAUUGUCUUCCAAAUCUGCUAUUCUUGGGAAUUCCGGAGUGCUGCAAGCUGAAGUUCCUCCAAUCGCGUAAAUACCGACCUUUUGCUGCUCCUACCGAUGUACAGGCUCAUUCAAGAACACCACAUGCUGAUUUUCUUGCUUGAUUAAUGAACCUGUACAAAGAAGGGAAAGAUAUUGUUGCAUCAUGUUUUUUUUCCCUUUCCAUUUUGUAAACGCAUAGGAGUAAUUGUAAAACAUAUGUUAUUUUUUAAUAUAUUUAAUGCUUGUUAAUGCAAAAAAUAUAUAUGUAUAUUUUUUUUAUAAAAAAGAGUGGAAUAGAGGACAGUUAU